UAAACCUAAAGGUUUUGAGAACAAAACCAAUCAUAACUUAGUUUGCAAGUUGAAAAAGGGAUUGUAUGGUUUGAAACAAGCAUCUAGGCAAUGGUAUAAGAAAUUUGACAGUUUUAUGCUGCGUGAAGGUUAUUCUAAAUGCGAUUUGGAUCAUUGUAUGUAUUUCAAGGGUUCAACAUAUGAUUCUUUUAUUGUUUUGUUGUUUUAUAUUGUGAUAUAUUUGUUGCUAACAAUGAUCUGUGUGAAACCAAGCAUUUAAAGCUUGAUAUGUUCAAGCAUUUUGCCACCAGGGAUCUUGGAUUAGCCAAGAAGAUUUUGGGCAAGCACAUCCAUAGAGACAGAAAGCAAGGUAAGCUUUGGUUAAGUCAAUCUGAAUAUAUUCUAAAGUUCUUGAGUGCUUCAAUAUGAUUGAUUGUAAAUAUGUUUCUACACCAUUAGCUGCACAUUUCAAGUUGUCUAAAAGGGAGUCUCCAAUGAAUGAGGUAGAUAGAAGUAAGAUGAAUAAUGUUCUAUAUAGGGACUCUCCAAUAAUGUCAACCUGAAUGUUUUGAGAACAAAACCAAUCAUAACUUAGUUUGCAAGUUGAAAAAGGGAUUGUAUGGUUUGAAAAAAGCAUCUAAAAAAUGGUAUAAGAAAUGUAAUAGCUUUAUGUUGCGUGAAGGUUAUUCUAAAUACGUUUUUUAUCAUUGUGUGUACUUCAAGGGUUCAACAUAUGAUUCUUUUACUGUUUUGUUGUUUUAUGUUGAUGAUAUGCAUGUUGCUAGCAAUGAUUUGUGUUAAACCAAGCGUUUAAAGCUUGAUAUGUCCAAGAAUUUUGCCACCAAGGAUCUUGGACCAGUCAAAAAGAUUUUGGGCAUGUACAUUCAUAGAGACAGAAAGCAAGUGGGAGUUGUUUCCAGAUUUAUGUCUAAUCCAAGUUGGGACCAUUGACAAACAAUGAAGUUUAUGCAGGAUGCCGUGAUACUAGAAGGUUUACCACUUGAUAUAUUUUCAAUGUUGAUGGUGGUGUAGUCAGGUAGAUGUCAAGGUUGCAGGAUAUCGUUCCCUUGUCAUCAACUGAAGAUGAGUAUGUGUCAUUGACUGAGGCAGCGAAGCAAAUGAUUUGGUUGUGAAUGUCACUUAGCCAGUUUGGGGUGAAACAAGAAAAAUAUAUUGUGCAUUGUGAUAACUAGAGUGAUAUUCAUCUGGCUAAGAAUACAUCGUAUCAUUCCAAGAUAAAGCAUAUAGAGGUUGGAUAUCAUUUUAUUCGGUUGGCCCUCGAGCGUAGAUUUACAAAUGGACAAGAUUCAUAUUGAGAAGAACCUUGCUGAUAUGUUAACAAAGGUUGUCUGAACUAAAAAUAAUACGACGUGUAGAAGGCUUUCGGGGUUGGAGGAGACGUAACCUCGGGUGGAUGGAGAGUGGUGCAUUGGCGAUUAUUUCAAAGACUUUGUGAUUUGUCUUCAAGUGGGAGAUUGUUACAUGUGUAAAAACAAAUAGUACUUGUGGGAGUUUUAUUUAACUUUUCUCUUUUUUAUUUUGGGCCAUUGGAUUACAUCUAAUCCAAUAGUUGUGGUGUUGUUAGAACUUUACGCUUUUAAAGGGACUAAAACCCUUUUGUUUAGAGAGAGAAAGAGUGAGAAAAAGAUAGAAAGAUUGGGUGGCAAUUGGGUUUUCUCUUGGGAGCUUAGUAUACUUUGUUUUAGAGAUAGAGUGAGCAAAAAGCUUGAACUCUAUUGUGGGUUUGCUGUAUGUCCUGUUUUAGUAAGAGAAAACGUUAAAAAGAAUUUUUUGGUGCUCUUAGUGCCUUA